GACGAACGCUGGCGGCGUGGAUUAGGCAUGCAAGUCGAACGGUAUCAUCCUUUCGGGGGUGAGAGAGUGGCGAACUGGUGAGUAACACGUAGGUUAUCUACCCUCAAGACGGGGACAACCCAGGGAAACUUGGGCUAAUACCGGAUGUGAGCAACUUUUAGUUGUUUGACAGGUGGCGUAAGCUGUCGCUUGGGGAUGAGCCUGCGUCCUAUUAGUUAGUUGGUGAGGUAACGGCUCACCUAGGCAAUGAUAGGUAGGCGGCCUUAACGGGUGGUCGCCCACACUGGGAUUGAGAUACGGCCCAGACUCCUACGGGAGGCAGCAGUCGAGAAUAGUCUACAAUGGUCGGAAGACUGAUAGUGCGACGCCGCGUGAACGAUGAAUCCCUUCGGGGUUAAAGUUCUUUUAUAUGUGAGCAGUGCUUCUUAUAUUAACAGUAUGGGGAAGAGAUAUUAGCAUAUGAAUAAGCAACGGCUAAACUCCGUGCCCAAGCAGCCGAAC
rnacentral:rRNA from 1 species